rnacentral:rRNA from 1 species
AGUCGCACGAGAAUCCGAAUUCGGGCGGGAGGACAGUGGCGAACGGGUGAGUAACACGUGAGCAUCUGCCUCCGGGUCGGGGACAGCCCGCGGAAACGCGGAUUAAUACCCGACGGUCCCUUCGGGGCAAAGAGGAAUCGCCCGGAGAUGAGCUCGCGGCCCAUCAGCUUGUUGGCGGGGUAACGGCCCACCAAGGCGACGACGGGUAGGUGGUCUGAGAGGAUGGUCACCCACACUGGGACUGAGACACUGCCCAGACUCCUACGGGAGGCUGCAGUCGAGAAUCAUCCGCAAUGGGCGAAAGCCUGACGGUGCAAUGCCGCGUGGGGGAUGAAGGCCUUCGGGUCGUAAACCCCUGUCAGAAGGGACGAAGCAAGUGACGGUACCUUCAGAGGAAGCCACGGCUAACUACGUGCCAGCAGCCGCGGUAACACGUAGGUGGCGAGCGUUAUACGGAUAUACUGGGCGUAAAGGGUCCGCAGGGGGUUUGCCAAGUCCGGUGUGAAAGUCCAGGGCUCAACCCUGGAACUGCG